UUAAAACUUUCAACAACGGAUCUCUUGGUUCUGGCAUCGAUGAAGAACGCAGCGAAAUGCGAUAAGUAAUGUGAAUUGCAGAAUUCAGUGAAUCAUCGAAUCUUUGAACGCACAUUGCGCCCCCUGGUAUUCCGGGGGGCAUGCCCGUCCGAGCGUCAUUGCACCACUCAGGCUCGGCCUGAUGUUGGGCCG
rnacentral:rRNA from 1 species